rnacentral:rRNA from 1 species
GAUGAACGCUGGCGGCGUGCCUAAUACAUGCAAGUCGAGCGAACAGACGAGGAGCUUGCUCCUUUGACGUUAGCGGCGGACGGGUGAGUAACACGUGGAUAACCUACCUAUAAGACUGGGAUAACUUCGGGAAACCGGAGCUAAUACCGGAUAACAUGUUGAACCGCAUGGUUCAACAGUGAAAGACGGUUUUGCUGUCACUUAUAGAUGGAUCCGCGCCGCAUUAGCUAGUUGGUAAGGUAACGGCUUACCAAGGCAACGAUGCGUAGCCGACCUGAGAGGGUGAUCGGCCACACUGGAACUGAGACACGGUCCAGACUCCUACGGGAGGCAGCAGUAGGGAAUCUUCCGCAAUGGGCGAAAGCCUGACGGAGCAACGCCGCGUGAGUGAAGAAGGUCUUCGGAUCGUGAAACUCUGUUAUUAGGGAAGAACAAAUGUGUAAGUAACUAUGCACGUCUUGACGGUACCUAAUCAGAAAGCCACGGCUAACUACGUG